GCUUGGGUGGUUUAGUGGUAAAAUUCUCGCUUGCCACAAGCGAGUGAUCGCACCGGUUGCGGGAGCCCGGGGUUCGAUUCCCCGUCCAAGCA